UACGUAGGUGGCGAGCGUUGUCCGGAAUUACUGGGCGUAAAGGAUGCGUAGGCGGAAUCUUAAGUCAGAUGUGAAAUCCCCGAGCUUAACUUGGGAAUGGCAUUUGAAACUGGGGUUCUAGAGUGCAGGAGAGGAAAGCGGAAUUCCUAGUGUAGCGGUGAAAUGCGUAGAUAUUAGGAAGAACACCAGUGGCGAAGGCGGCUUUCUGGACUGUAACUGACGCUGAGGCAUGAAAGCGUGGGGAGCAAACAGG
rnacentral:rRNA from 1 species